GGUGAGGUGGCCGAGAGGCUGAAGGCGCUCCCCCCUGCUAAGGGAGUAUGCGGUCAAAAAGCUGCAUCCGGGGUUCGAAUCCCCGCCUCACCGCCA
rnacentral:tRNA from 1 species